UGUCCUACGGGGCGCAGCAGUGGGGGAUAUUGCACAAUGGGGGAAACCCUGAUGCAGCGACGCCGCGUGGGCGAAGAAGUAUUUCGGUAUGUAAAGCCCUAUCAGCAGGGAAGAAGAAAUGACGGUACCUGAGUAAGAAGCACCGGCUAAAUACGUGCCAGCAGCCGCGGUAAUACGUAUGGCGCAAGCGUUAUCCGGAUUUACUGGGUGUAAAGGGUGCGCAGGCGGCACGGCAAGCCGGCGGUCAAAUCGCG
rnacentral:rRNA from 1 species